AUUGAACGCUGGCGUGCAGGCCUAACACAUGCAAGUCGAACGGUAACAGGAAGCAGCUUGCUGCUUCGCUGACGAGUGGCGGACGGGUGAGUAAUGUCUGGGAAACUGCCUGAUGGAGGGGGAUAACUACUGGAAACGGUAGCUAAUACCGCAUAACGUCGCAAGACCAAAGAGGGGGACCUUCGGGCCUCUUGCCAUCGGAUGUGCCCAGAUGGGAUUAGCUAGUAGGUGGGGUAACGGCUCACCUAGGCGACGAUCCCUAGCUGGUCUGAGAGGAUGACCAGCCACACUGGAACUGAGACACGGUCCAGACUCCUACGGGAGGCAGCAGUGGGGAAUAUUGCACAAUGGGCGCAAGCCUGAUGCAGCCAUGCCGCGUGUAUGAAGAAGGCCUUCGGGUUGUAAGGUACUUUCAGCGGGGAGGAAGGGAGUAAAGUUAAUACCUUUGCUCAUUGACGUUACCCGCAGAAGAAGCACCGGCUAACUCC
rnacentral:rRNA from 1 species